rnacentral:rRNA from 1 species
CUACGGAGGGUGCAAGCGUUACUCGGAAUCACUGGGCGUAAAGCGCGCGCAGGCGGCUAUUUAAGUUGGAUGUGAAAGCCUACGGCUCAACCAUAGAACUGCAUCCAAAACUAUUUAGCUAGAGUGUGGGAGAGGAAGAUGGAAUUAGCUGUGUAGGGGUAAAAUCCAUAGAGAUAACUAGGAAUACCAAAAGCGAAGGCAAUCUUCUGGAACACUACUGACGCUGAGGCGCGAAAGCGUGGGGAGCAAACAGGAUUAGAAACCCCAGUAGUCC